CCAGAGUUGACUGUAGGGUAGUAGUUCCGUGGCUGUUUUGAUGAACUGUGAUUAAAAAUGCAAAGGUCCUCUUCCCAGUAGGUGGGAAGGAGUCCAGUGAAACCCUGUGACCUGGAAGAAGUGAGGAUUGGAAGAUACCAUCUGUAUGGGGCAUUGCUUCAGACCAGAAGAGUGCUUGUCUAAGGCAUCAUCCUAGUGAGCGCCAGCACCUGGAAG
rnacentral:lncRNA from 1 species